UGCCAGCCGCCGCGGUAAUACGGAGGGUUCAAGCGUUAUCCGGAUUUAUUAGGUUUAAAGGGUUCGUAGGCGGGAAUCUAAGUCAGUGGUGAAAUCUUGCAGCUCAACUGUAAAAUUGCCAUUGAUACUGGAUUUCUUGAAUUAGUGUGAAGUGGUUAGAAUGUGUGGUGUAGCGGUGAAAUGCAUAGAUAUUACACAGAAUACCAAUUGCGAAGGCAGAUCACUAACACUAUAUUGACGCUGAGGGACGAAAGCGUGGGUAGCGAACAGGAUUAGAUA
rnacentral:rRNA from 1 species